GAUGAACGCUGGCGGCGUGCUUAACACAUGCAAGUCGAACGGAAAGGCCAGUGCUUGCACUGGUACUCGAGUGGCGAACGGGUGAGUAACACGUGGGUGAUCUGCCCUGUACUUCGGGAUAAGCUUGGGAAACUGGGUCUAAUACCGGAUAGGACAACUUUUUGGAUAUUGUUGUGGAAAGCUUUUGCGGUAUGGGAUGAGCUCGCGGCCUAUCAGCUUGUUGGUGGGGUAAUGGCCUACCAAGGCGUCGACGGGUAGCCGGCCUGAGAGGGUGUACGGCCACAUUGGGACUGAGAUACGGCCCAGACUCCUACGGGAGGCAGCAAUGGGGAAUAUUGCACAAUGGGCGCAAGUCUGAUGCAGCGACGCCGCGUGGGGGAUGAAGGCCUUCGGGUUGUAAACUCCUUUCGCUAGGGACGAAGCUUUUUUGUGACGGUACCUGGAGAAGAAGCACCGGCUAACUACGUG
rnacentral:rRNA from 1 species